AACGAACGCUGGCGGCAGGCCUAACACAUGCAAGUCGAGCGAACCCUUCGGGGUUAGCGGCGGACGGGUUAGUAACGCGUGGGAAUAUACCCUUUGGUACGGAAUAGCCUCGGGAAACUGAGAGUAAUACCGUAUGUGCCCUUCGGGGGAAAGAUUUAUCGCCAAAGGAUUAGCCCGCGUUGGAUUAGAUAGUUGGUGGGGUAAUGGCCUACCAAGUCUACGAUCCAUAGCUGGUUUGAGAGGAUGAUCAGCAACACUGGGACUGAGACACGGCCCAGACUCCUACGGGAGGCAGCAGUGGGGAAUCUUAGACAAUGGGCGCAAGCCUGAUCUAGCCAUGCCGCGUGGACGAUGAAGGCCUUUAGGGUUGUAAAGUCCUUUCAGAUGGGAAGAUAAUGACGGUACCAUCAGAAGAAGCCCCGGCUAACUCCGUGCCAGCAGCCGCGGUAAUGUAUCGUACGUAGAC
rnacentral:rRNA from 1 species